CGCCUUGUGACGACUAAGU
rnacentral:miRNA from 1 species